rnacentral:rRNA from 1 species
AGUGAACGCUCGCGGUAGGCCUAACACAUGCAAGUCGAACGGCAGCACAGUAAGAGUUUGCUCUUAUGGGAGGCGAGUGGCGGACGAUUGACGAAUACAAUGCAAUCUACCUUUUCGUGGACUACAACGAAGGGCAUCUUACGCUAGUACAUCAGACUUCCAUCGGCUGAAAGCUGGGGAUCUUCCGACCUUGCGCGAUUGAUUGAGCCGGUGUCGGAUUAGCCAGUGGGCGGGGUAACUGCCCACCAAGCCGACGGUCCUUAGCUGGUCUGAGAGGAGAAUAAGCCACACUGGAACUGAGACACGGUCCAGACUCCUACGGGAGGCAGCGGUCGGGAAUAUGGGACAAUGGGCGCAGGCCUGCUCCAGGCCUACCGCGUAGGUGAAGAAGGCCUUCGGGUUGUAAAGCCCUUUUGUUGGGACAGAAAAGCAGCCGGUUAACACCCCGCUGUUCUGACGGUACCCAAAGAAUAAGCACCGGCUAACUUCGUG